UCCGUAGGUGAACCUGCGGAGGGAUCAUUACAGAGCUAACAACUCACCAAACCAUUGUGAACCCUACCUCACCGUUGCUUCGGCGGGAGGCCCCCGCGCCCCUAGCGAUAGGCGGCCGCGGGGCGCCCCUGGACCCCCUGCGGGCGCCCGCCGGAGGAAUCCCAAACCCUGUCAGCACGUGGCCUCUCUGAGUCUUUACUGAAUAAGUCAAAACUUUCAACAACGGAUCUCUUGGUUCUGGCAUCGAUGAAGAACGCAGCGAAAUGCGAUAAGUAAUGUGAAUUGCAGAAUUCAGUGAAUCAUCGAAUCUUUGAACGCACAUUGCGCCCGCCAGCAUUCUGGCGGGCAUGCCUGUCCGAGCGUCAUUUCAACCAUCAAGCCCCCGGCUUGUGUUGGGGAACUGCGGCUGCCCGCAGGCCCCGAAAUGCAGUGGCGGGCUCGCGGACACACCGAGCGUAGUAGCAUAGACCUCGCUCAGGGCGUGCCGCGGGUCCUGGCCGUAAAGCAGCCUUCUCUCAGCACUAGGUUGACCUCGGAUCAGGUAGGAGGACCCGCUGAACUUAAGCAUAUCAAUAAGCGGAGGAAAAGAAACCAACAGGGAUUGCCCUAGUAACGGCGAGUGAAGCGGCAACAGCUCAAAUUUGAAAUCUGGCUUCGGCCCGAAUUGUAAUUUGCAGAGGAAGCUUUAGGCGCGGCACCUUCUGAGUCCCCUGGAACGGGGCGCCGUAGAGGGUGAGAGCCCCGUAUAGUCGGAUGCCUAGCCUGUGUAAAGCUCCUUCGACGAGUCGAGUAGUUUGGGAAUGCUGCUCAAAAGGGAGGUAAAUUUCUUCUAAAGCUAAAUACCGGCCAGAGACCGAUAGCGCACAAGUAGAGUGAUCGAAAGAUGAAAAGCACUUUGAAAAGAGGGUCAAAUAGCACGUGAAAUUGUUGAAAGGGAAACGCUUGAAGU
rnacentral:sRNA from 1 species